CCUACGGGUGGCAGCAGUCGAGAAUCAUUCACAAUGGGGGAAACCCUGAUGGUGCGACGCCGCGUGGGGGAAUGAAGGUCUUCGGAUUGUAAACCCCUGUCAUGUGGGAGCAAAUUAAAAAGAUAGUACCCCAAGAGGAAGAGACGGCUAACUCUGGGCCAGCAGCCGCGGUAAUACAGAGGUCUCAAGCGUUGUUCGGAAUCACUGGGCGUAAAGCGUGCGUAGGCGGUUUCGUAAGUCGUGUGUGAAAGGCGCGGGCUCAACCCGCGGCCGGCACGUGAUACUGCGAGACUAGAGUAAUGGAGGGGGAAGCGGAAUUCUCGGUGUAGCAGUGAAAUGCGUAGAUAUCGGGAGGAACACUCGUGGCGAAGGCGGGUUCCUGGACAUUAACUGACGCUGAGGCACGAAGGCCAGGGGAGCGAAAGGGAUUAGAUACCCCAGUAGUC
rnacentral:rRNA from 1 species